rnacentral:rRNA from 1 species
GACGAACGCUGGCGGCGCGCCUAACACAUGCAAGUCGAACGGAGAUCAUUUGGUAGAAGUUUUCGGAUGGACACCGGGUGAUCUUAGUGGCGAACGGGUGAGUAACGCGUGAGCAAUCUGCCUCAGAGUGGGGGACAACAGUUGGAAACGACUGCUAAUACCGCAUAAGCCCACAGCACCGCAUGGUGCAGGGGGAAAAGNUUUAUUGCUUUGAGAUGAGCUCGCGUCCAAUUAGCUAGUUGGUGAGGUAACGGCCCACCAAGGCGACGAUUGGUAGCCGGACUGAGAGGUUGAACGGCCACAUUGGGACUGAGAUACGGCCCAGACUCCUACGGGAGCAGCAGUGGGGAAUAUUGCACAAUGGGGGGAACCCUGAUGCAGCGACGCCGCGUGGAGGAAGAAGGUCUUCGGAUUGUAAACUCCUGUUGUUAGGGACGAUAAUGACGGUACCUAACAAGGAAGCACCGGCUAACUACGUGCCAGC